UUGUGUCGGUGUCAUAACCAUGGCAUUAUUAGCAUCAUAGACUAAUUUGAAGUGGCGCCACUGAGCCACCCCACUAAUUUUAAAAUAUGUUUUUUGUCAAUUAUUAUAUAAGACGAUUCGCUUUCAAAUACUUGUAACGACUUAACGCUUAAAAUUAACUGAAACUGAGAAUAUACGCAAUUUUAUGAAGAAAAAGCAUUUCAAUUCGCAACAUAUCAACACGCCUCUUCGAGUUACGAGCAUCGCAGCAACAUUGUGUUCCUUCGCGGCCGAAUUAACUACAGAAAAGGCUCGGCGACCCUUGGACUUCGUGCAACUUCACACAUCGCAAGGUGAAGAAAAGCCAUCCAAAACGUGCAUAGAGGACGAAGACUGAGGAAAGGCACCCGGUUAAGACGUCGUGAAAGUCUGCAGCAGGUCUACAAACUACAAAGCGCAUUUCGUGCUUGCAUUCAUCCAUUCAAUCUGUGCUACGGCAUCUAGCAUCCGCCUACACACCAGGAUUAAACCCCAUUCGCUUGACGGCAUAGACGCGCAGCUUCGGCAGUUCUGGGAGCUUGAGGAGCUGCCCAGGGCUGGUAAGGUGCUCUCUGACGAGGAGCACGCGUGCGAGGAACAUUUCGUUACAACGACUACGCGUGAAAGUGACGGAAGGUUCUGCGUACGUAUUCCAUUUAAAGAAUCCCCUGAUACGUUAGGUGAAUCAUUUUCACAGGCUGAACGUCGUUUCUUAGCCUUAGAAAAACGCCUAGAUCGCAAUCCAGAUUAUAAAAAAUUAUAUAGCGAGUUUAUUCAUGAAUACAUAAACCUAGGUCACAUGACACGCGUGCAUUCUUACGAAACGCCUCACUUUUUCAUGCCUCAUCACGGUGUGUUUCGUGAGCACAGCACUACCACCAAGUUGCGUGCUGUCUUCGAUGCCAGCGCCGCAUCCAGCAGCGGAAAAUCCUUAAAUGAUAUUCAGCUUGUAGGACCGCCAUUACAGAGUGACCUAGUAUCUAUUUUACUGCGAUUUAGGCAACAUAGGUAUACUGCAUGCGCAGAUAUCGAAAAGAUGUACCGACAAUGCUUAGUGCAUGAGUCACAGCGCGACCUGCAGCUGAUUCUAUGGCGGGACGAUCCAUCCGAAACGUUAGGUAUUUAUCGUUUGAACACUGUGACCUACGGGACAGCCUCCGCACCAUUUCUCAGCGUGAGGUGUUUAAAACAAAUUGCGCUGGAUUGCAUCGACCCUGAAGUUAAAGGUGUCAUUAAUGAUCAUUUUUACGUAGAUGACAUGAUUUUAAGUUUGGACAAUAAAUUAGAUUUAUUAAAAUUAUGCGAAAAAACAAAGGACGUUUUAAAAUCAGGUUGCUUUCCGUUACGAAAGUGGGUUUUUAACUUCAAGUGUGAUCAACAUUUAACUUCAUUCGGUGACUACAAAGACUUAUCAUUAGGAGAUAACGUUCACAGCAAAACUUUGGGUUUAGGUUUGUUUCACACUACAGAUGAAUUUCAUUUUCAAACAAAAUUAAAUACUGAUAUUUCUAAAUUAACUAAGCGUACUAUUUUAUCACAUGUGUCACAGAUAUUUGAUCCCCUGGGAUUGUUGAGUCCAACUAUAGUGAUGGUUAAGGUUUUAUUACAACGACUUUGGUUAUUACAAUUGGACUGGGACGAUGAGGUCCCGAGUGACGUCGUGCGCGCAUGGAAUCGUUUCGUGAAUGGCUUGUCUGCGCUCAAUACAAUACGCAUACCACGCCAGGCUAUAGCUAGCGACGCUAUACGUAUAGAAUUACAUAUCUUUACCGAUGCAUCGCAGACUGCGUAUGGCGCUUGUAUUUACGUACGUACAAUAACACAGCAGGGCAUCACGGUUAGAUUGUUAUUUUCUAAGGGCAAGGUCGCACCCAUCAAGCCAGUUAGCAUACCUAGGCUCGAGCUAUGUGGUGCUUUACUGGGUGCAAGGCUUUACGACAAAGUACGUACAUCUCUUCAUUGUCACUUUGAGAACAUAAUAUUUUGGACCGAUUCAACGAUAGUGUUAGGGUGGUUACACAUGUCUCCAAACUUACAAAAAACCUUUGUGCAAAAUAGAACUGCUGAAAUACAUGAGCUAACAAAGGGACUUCCGAGGCGUCAUGUCAGUGGGAAGGAAAAUCCAGCUGAUUUAGUUUCGCGUGGCGUCAGUAUGGAUGACCUUUCUACUUCAUCUUUAUGGUGGGAGGGCCCUGAAUUCCUGAGUGAUCACAGUUUUAGUUGUACAGAGAUGCCAGUAGAAUCACACCCCAUACAUGAUGACGGUCUGAAAGAAUUAAAGUCAGGUGCUACGUACUCACUUGUAUCCGAACAGACAGAGUCUUGUAACGUUUUUCCAUUCGUUAGAUUCUCUCAAUUCGCCCGCAUGAGACGUGCCAUGGCGUAUGUACACCGCUUUAUCUAUAACGCGCGCAAUAAAGUUGAAAAACGCACAGGCGUUCUCACUGUUGACGAGUUGAGGGAAGCUGACUUAACUUUAGUAAGACUGGUUCAGCUUGAAUCGUUUCCGAGCGAAUACGCAACGCUUUCAAAGCACAAGUCUUUGAAUAGUAAACAUAACUUGUCAAAAUUAAACUUGUUUAUGGACGAAAAUAACAUUCUACGAGUUGGCGGGCGUAUUAAACAAUCACCUGAGUUCACCUAUAUUAAAAAACAUCCGAUUUUGCUUUCAUCCAAACAUCACUUUACGUUGUUGCUGUUCCGUCACGAGCAUAAACAGUUAUUACACGCAGGCCCUCAAACCCUCUUGUACAACAUCAGGGAGAUGUGGUGGCCUAUAGCUGGUAGGAAUAUUGCAAGAUCGGUAGUACAUGAUUGUGUAAUCUGCAAACGAUUGAGAGGCAAAACUCUGGCUCCUCUGAUGGGAAAUUUACCUGAGGAGCGCAUAACUCCUAGUUUUCCAUUUAUGCGUUGUGGAGUCGACUAUGCGGGUCCAAUGUUCAUACUCAAUCGCAAGGGUAGAGGAUCCAGGGUAACAAAAUGUUACAUAUGUUUAUUCGUCUGUUUGGUCACGCGCGCUAUGCACCUGGAACUAGUCACUGAUCUCUCAACAGAUGCAUAUUUGUUAGCCUUAAAGAGAUUUAUUUCUCGCCGUGGAAAACCUAAUGAAAUAUUUUCGGACAACGGCAAGAAUUUUGUUGGUCUAGCAAAUGAAUUUACAAGGUUUUUAUCAAAUUGUUCAUCUGAAAUAAUUGAAUUUGCCACUAAUCAAAACAUUAAAUUCACUUUUAUACCUCCUUAUGCGCCUCAUUUUGGUGGUUUGUGGGAGGCUGGUGUUAAAUCCUGCAAGUAUCACUUGCGUCGCGUGAUAGGGAACUCGCACAUGACUUAUGAGGAGUUUGGCACGGUACUGACUCAAGUAGAGGCUGUCCUAAACUCUCGUCCCCUAAGUCCUAUGUCCUCAGAUCCGCAAGAUUAUAACC